UAUUGCUCCUUAGGAAGCAGAACCACUGGUCUCUACCCUAUAGGUUUAUAGGAAUUCCAUACUGAUGUAGCAACACACUAAAGGAACCAACACACCCUUUUAAGGUCGGAGACAGAGUAGUGGUGAAGAUCCUCCCCCGCAGCAAGAGCCGAGGAGACUUCACCUAUGGCCCAGAGGCGGAAGUCGUUGCUGUAACCCGAACCGCAGUCCUGACAGAAGAGAGUCCCACCUGGAUCCAUGCUUCCCGAGUAAAGAAAAUUCCUAGACCAGACCUAGAGGAGGAAACAGGUGUUUCCAGUGAGGUACGAACAGGGGCGGACAGCCCUGACCUCCCACCUAGCGAAGACAGAAGACCAGAGGAGGAUGAAGAAAAUGCCCCCUAUCUUUACCCUGGGGACUAUCUUGAUAGCCCUACUGGCCCAUUUUCCCCUCUCAAUGACUGAGGUUGAUAUAACUCAGAAUAAGGGAAACUGACACUAUGGUAUAACUCUUCCACCACAUACACUGCAACCUACAUACUAGAUUAUUUCCAAUUCCCCCAACUAGCUGUUGUCCAAAAGUCUGUUGACUACCAGAUCCGCGCUGACCCCACAGACAACCUAAGCCCCGAGGUACCUUAUAUUUGCGUUACAGGCCAUAACUGGGGAAAUGAUUGCAGCUCAUGGUCCGCGGCUGCCUGGAACACAGGUACCCCAUGGGGCUAUAAGCCCGCUGAAGCCUUAGAUGAAAAGGAUAAACACGGAACAUCAUUAACCCAACGAUUAACCCUUCUUAAAAUGCCCAACAAUUACUGCAACUCCCGCUCAGGCUAAAAAUUGCGCCAUUGGUGUGCAGAAAGACGUAAGCUUUGCAAGAAUCAUAUAGUAUAACAAUAAUGAUUCUAAGAGGGGAUUGAAAGGGUUAAAGCUCGUCUCUGCUUCAAUGUCAUAGAAUUGCUUGUGUUAUAGAACUUAAUGUUCCAGCACAUUUUUGCUACUGUCCUUGUCUGUUAUCUUUUUUAUACCGUGUGAAUAACCUUCCUAUUUGAGUACCAACUUGCCCAUAUAUGCAUAUCCUUCCACUGCGGCAGUUCCUAGCCAAUCAUGUUAUGUUAGCCCCCUUUGUGUUCUGUCCAAUUAGUUAUUGACUUUGGAUAUACACGCCCUAAAUCCUUUCUUUUAUAUACUUUUGUUAAACCAACAAUAAACAGUGUGAAUCUUUA